rnacentral:rRNA from 1 species
UACAGAGGGUGCAAGCGUUAAUCGGAAUUACUGGGCGUAAAGCGCGCGUAGGCGGAUAAAUAAGUUGGGUGUGAAAUCCCUGGGCUUAACCUAGGAAUUGCAUUCAAAACUGUUUGUCUAGAGUACAGGAGAGGAGGGCAGAAUUUCCGGUGUAGCGGUGAAAUGCGUAGAUAUCGGAAGGAAUACCAGUGGCGAAGGCGGCCCUCUGGACUGUGACUGACGCUGAGGUGCGAAAGCGUGGGGAGCAAGCGGG